UACUAGCACGGACUCUUGCAUAUUUAAAUUAAGCAUCGCAAUGUUGUUUGCUAGCUUUUUUGUAUGCUAGUUUCAUAAGCUGACAGGUGUUUUGAUUGAGGUUGUUGUUGUUCGCUGGCUUCAAAAGCAAUCAGUGUUUACAUCAACAAAAGACCAGAUCCGCUUGGAAUUCGCUAAAACUUUCGAACAUCUGCGAAUUUUAGGUGUAUCCUACUUAAGAAAAAAAAGGAACAACUAAUAUGGCAUGAAUCUCUUCAAGUUUGAGUGAUUGACUGCACACUUCUUCAAUGCUUCAUGUAGAUGAAUACUGAUUAGAAUUUGGUUCACAAUGGAAAAAGAUUCGAAAAAGUUUAAUUGUAAGCUGUGUAGUUUUGCAAUUAAUUCUCAAGCUCAUUUUGAGCGACACUUAAGGAUACACUCAGUUACCUUUUUGGUUGAUGUUAACUCAUAAGUUCCCAAAGUUCAUAGGUUGAAAAAUACAACUGGUUUAGCUUGUGUUUAUCGAUUUAACUGGAUGCUUCAGAUGUGUAUAGGCUAUGUCCUUGCACAUGCAAAAUGAAGUGGCCAAAGAUGGCAGCAGAAAAACAACUCAAGUGGACAACCAAAUUUGUGCCUGACUGAUGGAAGGGAAUUGAAAAUGCAAGAACCUGGAUGGUAAAGAAUAAACUGAAGCAACAGCAUUAGACGUUAUAAUUAGGAUGAAGAAUUCAUGACUUGCAGUGAUCAGUUUAAAGUAACUAAUAUGGCAAAUGUUCAAUAGGAAUUCCUUCACAGGACUGGUCCAUAGAGGUUUAAUUGAUAGAAGUUUAAAUCAGAUUCAAAUACUAAAGGUUUAUGAUAUGUAUUCAGGUUGGAGCAUCAAGUUUUUGCAUGUAUCAACUGUACAUAAGUUACUAGUAAACUAAACCUUACUUAAUACUUUAAAGCCAAAGUGAAGCUGGUCGCUUACUUGAAUGGAACGAACACAUAGCCACAAAAUUAGUGGUGAUACACAUCAUGUAGUCUGUCAGUUUCAAGAAAACCUUCAUUCUGCAAUACAAGCCUUAUAUGUGAUUUGUAACCUAAAAAAUGGAUUUUAGCAUCCGUCAGGAUUCAAGUGGGGGCGGUUUCUAAUUUUGAAAAUAUUUUUGUAAAUUGGUUAGUGAGGCUCUAAAUAUUGUAAUGUUGGGUCAUUAACAGUUAUUGGUAUUUGUUUUAGUAAGAUGUCAGAAUUUGUUAGUUAAUUUAUUUCUCUUCAGUUCCUAAAAUGUGUAGUUGUUCGAUGUGGUAUACAUAGUUUCAUCAAGUAAGAUCCUAUUGCAUUUAUUUCUUAUACACACCAUCCAAUCUUUCAUUUUAAAUUUGCAUAAAUGAUUCAAGUCUAAAUUUACAAAAUCCUUAUUGUUCAUAACUUGAUUUAACUUCAAAUCAUCACUGACUUGGUUAUCAUUCUAGUCUGAAAUCUUGGUCAUGCUAUAUAUAUUUAGAACCUCAUUUUAAAUCUCACUCAUCAGUAUGUUGGAAUCUGUCAAAGUUUGUUUUUGUUUGUAUAGAAAUAGAAAGAGGUUAUAUAAUUUUCAGCUAAAGUCUAGUUAGUACUGAUUAACUUUAUAGUGUACUUGUAAGUCUGUCAAUCCUUUAACAAUAUGAUAGCAUUGUUUAAAUAUAAUGUAUUUGUGUUUUAUGGCAGUUUAAGGAAUCAGUUGUUAUAUAUUUUUUGAUGUGUGAAGUAACAAAGCACAUAAUGAUCACAGUGUGGCUACAAAUAAAAUAAAAUAAAUAAAUUUUGGAUAUCAGUUUUAGAAAGUUACUUUAUAAGUUGAAUGAUAAUCAGUUAUUUCUGAUGAGCAAACAUUACUAUAUCCCUAUAACAAAAUUUGUUUAGAAUGAGAAAAUAUUCAAUUACAGAACGUAAACAUAAAGUUCAGAUCGUUACAAAUUGUUUUUGCUGUUAAAGCAAUACCUUGUCAGAAGUCAUAACACUUGAUUUUAAUUAUGAUUCGUACAGCCUCAUUACUUAAAAAUUUUGAUAAUGGCUUGUUAUUUUUACUACUCUAAAUAACAAAUCGUUAAACAGUUGGGGUACCUGAUUGUUUAUCUUUUUUGUAUAGUUCACUACCACAGAUUUAUAGAUGGCUCUACGAAUUUGGCUUUUACUAAAGCCUGGAAUGAUCUGAGCCAUAAGUCUGGAGCAGUGGAAUUUCAGAAGUUCGAAUUGAGUGCAUAUGCUUUCUAGUUGAACAGCCCCACAUGAGUCAUAUUUCACAAUUGAUUUUUUAUGUUAUUUUUCAAAUAGCAUAUGCACUGUAGUUUGUCAAAAUACAUGGUUUACAGAGUUUUGUGGUCUUCAGAAGACUUUUGAAAAUACUUUUUUUUAGAGGAAGUUAAAUUUUAAUUUUGUCACUUUUGCUUAGACACCCAAUAGGGUCUUGAUUUUUUAACCUUAAGAGAUUACUAGUGUGCUUUUUUAUAUAUUAAUUCAAAGCUACCUGUGGUUCUCCUACGUGUUAAUGUUAAUUUAAUUUUGUAUAUCCACACUACGGUUAUGAGACUAAAAAUAGUUCAUAAGAUAUUGCUAAUGGAAAUUAAACAUUCUUUCCCAUCAGUUUUGUACUGUAACUGAUCAGAGUGAGAUUUAUACAAUAUUAAUUUGUUUAGAUAUAUUUAAGAGUAAGUUUUUGUGGCAUUCAAAGGGGAAGUUCUGUUGUUGUGGGAUUCAAAGUAUGUAGUUCUCAUACAGCCCCAUGUUUUUCCUUUGAACUUUUAAAAUCUACUUCCCUUGUUAUAGAUUGAGGAUUUGAAAGGAUAGCUUUCUGGAUUACCCAGUAGUAUUUCCAGUUAUGUAGAAAUAAUGGCAUAUUUUGCGUACAAAUUUAAAAUAUUCAAAGGGUUAUUGAAUAGUACAGUCCCUGCUUGUGUUAUUGUUUUAUGGGCCAGUUUAAGGAUAAAAGCAUGACAAUCCUUUCUAGUAUUUUGAAAUUCAUGAAGGAUAAUAGCAUUCUAUAAUGCACUUCUGAACUUUAAAUUCUCUACAGGAUACUGUACUGUGAAGUGUGAAUUGCUUUCAUAUAUCAGUCAGAGUACUCUCCAGUUCCAAUUCUUUUAUGAUUGUGUAGUACUUUAACAAAGCACAUAGAAUUCAGAUUACUCUCUCUCUCUCUCUCUCUCUCUCUCUCUCUCUCUCUCUGCUGCAUGAGCAAACCUUAAUGAAUAAAUGAGGGAUUGUUUUCUUGAGUUCACAUUUUGAUUGCAUUCUGCAGAACUUCCCUUUUAUCCUUCUGAUGCUUUCCUUCAGUUUCAGGUCUCCCAUACCCUCUCCUUGAUCCUGUCCUCUCCCAAACUCAAAAUGUUAAAAAAGCUACUAGUCAACGUUCAUAUGACUUACGAAGCUCCCUCUGCCGCCCCCCCCCUCCCCCCAUGGAAACCUUCCUCUUCUCUAGCAUCAGCGUUUGCCAUUUUCUUCUUCUCCACCAAAGGGCCAGAGAGUUCACGAACUAGAUCGUGCGUUGUUCAUGAAUUUCCCUUGUGCAGAACUAGUUCAUUCCUUUACUUGGUGUAAUGAGAGCAGUAUAGCCUACUGUGUGAAUUCAUGUAUUGUACUUGUCAAAUGUUAAUAUGCUGUCCUGGUAAACAUGUUGGAUAUUGGUCCAGUUAUUUUUCCAGCUGUCUUGUCAAGGAAGGUUUUAUCUUGACAGCCAAAGUCAUAGGCAGUAAUUGUCUUGCCACGCCUUGUUUAAGUUGCUAAAAACUCGACACUUCAAGUGCUGUGAAAGUAUAUUUUAAUAACUAGACGUCUUGAAUUGUAGAAGUUUGUAAUGUCAACUGUACAGGCUUCAUUUUGGUAACUAUGUCUAGUGGAUAUGUAUUGGGCUACACUUUAUCAAAUAUGCCACGAACAGUGUAAGUGGUUGACAUUGUAAUAUGAAUAGAUUUGAUGUAACACACUCUCAAGAUAAUGUAUGAAUUUUUGCAGUUGAUUUGGAAAACUUUCAUUGCUGAUGUUUGUGAAAUUUAAAGUUCAAGGUUACUGAAAAUUAAUGUUAAAUGUUAAUGAAAAUUGUUUCAAACAUAAAUGUACCAAGGAAUUUGAUGAGAGGUCAUUCUGAAGUCUUGCAUUUGAGUACUUUUUGUUACCCUGAGAUACCUGGACUCUCCGAAAAGGGGUCCAGCUAGGUUCGUAAAUGUCCAUUUUGUCUCUGAUUUUUACCAUUUGUGUCCUUGACAUAAAGGAGGGCUAAAGAACUGCUAUAAUCAUCUUUAGACUAACUGUGCCAUAAGUUUUUGAAUAUCUUGUUAGUGUGAAUGCUGUCUAGGUGCAUUUGUGUUUGGGUGUUGUAUUUAGGAUGUGAAAGUUGGUUUGAUGAGCAACUUUAUAAAUUUCUUGUUGUUGGUAUGCAAGCUGUCAGGGCUGUUUGUGUGUGUGUGUGUGUGUGUGUGUGUUUGUAUUUUAAAAGAGACUGCCCUGGUUUGUGGUUUGUUUCCUCGCUUCCUGCCAUUGAUUAGAAUAUGGAAGUUGUCUGUUUUUGGUUUUGUGUUCUUUAAAGCUUUUCUUCAUGGGCGAUGUAAUGGUCUUAGGUAAAUUUUUGUGUCUCUUUAACUUGUUAAAUGUGUAGGCAUGAGGUUAGUACUGAUGUGCAAGAAUAUACCUGGUUUCAGUUCUUUGCUAUUUUAACAGCAUCAUUAUUGUAAAUCAUAAUUGUCAGGCAUUACAUGUACAAUAAUUUUUUCAAGCUCUUACUAAAUGCGAAAUCACCAUUUAGGAAUUCAGUGAUAAGUCGUUAUUAGAUUAAAACUGCUUGAAAAUUGCAAGGAACCAGUAACAAUGAAAAUGUUACUUUUUGGCUUAUGUUUUCCCCGUGGAUGUCUUGAUCUUGCAAAUAAAUGUUAACACUAUAUCUUUAUUUAUUUCUUGGUUCUGUCUUAUAGUCUUGAGGAGAUCAUUGAUUGGUUAUCAGUUCUGUAGUAGACAUAAAUUAAGAGCGACAAAAACUAUGAUAACAGCAGAGAAACUUAUAAUAGAAAAACCCAUUUGUACUAUCAUAUAGCAGUAAUUUCAAAGAUAUUUCUCGUGUAAUUAAGAAUUAACAAUUAAUAUAAAUUCAAGAAUAAUAAUACAGUGAAUUAAGCAGGUCCCAAGAAGUAAAGCAGUUUUCAUAGUACAUUAACUAAUAGAUGGAAGUAGUGAAUGAAAUUUUAUUAAUGAAUCAAACAUAGUUGGAUGUGACACUCUCUCUCUCUCUCUCUCUCUCUCUCUCUCUCUCUCUCUUGUAUUUAAUGAAUUCCUGAUUUCAUAAGUGAUGUUUCAUUGCUUUUCUACAACUGGUUGUUUCUUGCACAUCAGUAUAGUAGGUUGAUAAAGGCCAGGUACAUACAUAUAGAGAUACCAUAUAAGUGUCUAAUUGUCUGGAAGCAUAAUUGGAUAAUUACGUAUGUGGAAUGUUUGGUUUUUGCACUCUCAUUAGUAUAGUGAAUUCCACCACAAGAAGUUAAAGAUUUUACUGAUUAGUGCAAUAAUUCAUUUAAAGAUGGCCUUUGGUAUCAUAUGGAGCGAAGUUGUCCUUUUACCAAUGUCUUUUGAGUUAUUCAUAUAUGAGCAGCAAGUUAUUACUGUAUAUGCUGGUGUUUAAGGUUACUUGACGUAAAAAUGUAGGGUUAGUGGUAUGUUCACUGUAUAUAAAUGACCACAAAUUUAUUAAAUUAAAUAACAUUAUCAGUUGAUGUAAGUUAGUUGGUACAUGAAUAAAAUCAAUAUUUAUUGAAAUCAUCAUACCAAAUACUAUAUGUAAAAUCAGUACAUAUCUUUAAGAUUUUAAAAUAUUUGGCAAAUCUCACCAUUACAAAAAAGUACUUUUGUAUUCCCCUAGGAAAAGCAUACAGUAAGCAUCACAACAAAUGUUCAACGACUAUGGUGUCACUGUCACCAGAGUAAUUACCAUUGGAAGUAGGAACUGUCAGUAUCACAAAACCCUUUAGUUUGAUUAUAAAGUACUACCAAGGAAAUGUUGGCCUUUAGUAAACAAAAACGGUUUGAAAGUUAAGCACAACUGGGAACUACGGAAAUGGCUAUGUUUCGUAAACAUGAAAGUUAGGUACCCUGAUUUACCCUUUCGGUAACUUCAAAUUAUUUAUCAAUGUUAAAAAGGCAUUGUAUAAUAAGUAUCAAUGACAGAAUUAUUGCCAUAAAAUGGUCUAGGCUACUUUGAAUAAAGCUAGUAACAAAUUGAGAGCUCGCUCAUUCUAACGUCUAAUUAAGGUAAUUACCACUGUAAUUACUGUUGUUUUGUUUACAUUAUCGACAGUUAUGUUGCUAGUGAUUCACUUGAAUUACCUAUGGUUUUUACCGUUACAUAUUACAUACAGUUUUUUUGUUUACAGUGUCGAUAGUUGUGACUGCAGCUAACUAUUGACACAACUGUCGACACUUCAGGGGUUAACCUAUCAUUAGAAAUCUUGGGAGGAUGUAAGGUCGCUUUGUACUCAGCAUAUAAGAUGAACCCCCAUUUUGAGAGAGAUUUAUUCAGGUUAAAGGGUCGACUUUUAUGUCAGCAUAUAUGGUACGUUCCAGUGUUUUAAAAUUAAAUCCUAAUUGUUUUACCUCAGUGUUAAGGAAAUUUAAUGUUGCAUUUUUUUAUGUGAGCACAUAUAAAUAUGGAAGGGCUUGGCAAAUUAUGUAAUUAUGAAAGGAAAUUUAUUACAUGAAUUGAGAAACUGAACAAAAUCAGCUUUCCAUAUGUUGAGUACUAGUUAGCCCCCUUCGUGACCCUCAGGCGUAUGUCUUGGUACUGUAUAAUAAUUUUUCCAUGAGCAAACUUUUUACUUCAGUGAUCAGAUUUGUAUUAAAUUAUUUACACACAAAUGUGCCAUAAUCUUUAAACCAUUAUAAUGAAAUUCAUAAGCAAAGUUCUUUAAUUGGUUUUUGUAAGAUGUCCAAAGAAUAAAAAAAAUUUUCAGAGAGAGGUAGCUGCAUAUCAAAAUGGAGGGUUUAAAUUCUGGAUUCUUAAAAUGCAGUUUAGUUUCCCUUUUUUGUUAUUCAUUAAAACUUAUAUUUUGCUGUUUGCUGAAAUGUUUAUUAGGAUCAUCUUCUAGUCUUAAAAACACUGAAGAAAUUCAUAGUAAAAGUCUGAAUAUGUCUUUAAAUCUGUAAAAUAUAUCUGUCCCUUCUUAAGUCUAAAAGUCAGUUCAUGAAGAAAGAUUCAACUCGCACUAAAACAAUAACUGCUGCUCCUGUGUUUCUGUAAUUAACCAGGAAAUUUUAAGUGUAUUUAAAAUAUUGAAUGAAGUGCUACAUUCCAGUUAAUUACUAAGCACUAAAUAUGGUUGUCAUUGCAAACCACAUAGAAUACAAAAUAAUUGAAUAUUCAUUGGAUUGAUACUGAUUUAAUGUUCCCUUGCAUAUUCAAUUUUUAUUUUACCAAUAUUAUAUGAUCACUGUUGUUUGUCCUUCAAAUUCUGUGUUACAGAUAUUUCAGAGUAUACAGUGCAUAAGAAAGUAAGAAACUAAUCAAAUGAAUUUAUGGGUUCUGUAAAGAUUUUAAGUAAAGGGUCUGACAACAUUAAAUUUUUCUCUAUGCGAAAAGUAGUGUUGCCACUUAGCUCUAUCAAAAUUAUGUUGUAUCAUAAAAUUGGUUACAGUGAACAAUCUUGGUAGGUAACUAAAAGAGGCUGGUAUUGUGCUAGUGGAAGUAAUAUUGUAUUCUUUAAAGUAGUGUCACUCUGUUGGUGCUGGUUAAUUGCUUCAUUGUUGUUAGAAAUUAUAAGUCUUGCUUAUUGUCAGCUUCUUCAUGAUGUUGGUUAAUAUGUGCCUUGUGCUCAAGGGGCUGCUGAUUUUCUUGCAAUAAGGGAACCAUUUCCCUGAGGUUUUGUUUUUUCUUCCAGCUGCUGUAUGUCAUAAGUUUAGUUUGCCUCUCAGCGUUGCCUUCCCAAGGGUUUGUAUUUGAGAACUUAUUGCACAGGUGAAGCUAAAGUGAUUUAUUGGUGGUCCACGCACAAGGUGAAUGUGUACUUCGGUCCGAUCUGGCUGCCCUGCUGGGGGAAGAAGCAUCAGGUAGUCGGGGUAGUAUCCUUGUGAGUCUCUUCUUUUUUACCUGACUCAAUCAUGUACAGGAAAUGGAAUAAGGUCAAGAGGCCUCAUGGUUAGUCGCGAAUCUUGUCUGCUUUUGAGAGGGCUUAAGGUGUCGCCAGUUAUGGAUUGUGCAGCUGUGCUGAAAUGUGCAUGGGACUGAUGGUGACCUUUCAGCCUCCCUUUUAACUUAACUGAUUAACUUUCCCCAUUUUUCAAAAAUGAAAAACUAAUUAUUUCCCCCCUCCAAGAUGCACAACUCCUUUUACUUAGUUUUACUGCGAAACCUUUGUACUGUACUUGGAGUCUUUUGAUUCACAAUAUCAUCAAUAAAAAACAGAAGAAAAAAUGAGGACAAGGACAGCAUUCAAGGGCUUAGUAACUUUUCCUGAUCAGAAACAAGAAUUAUUUCUAAGUCUUCAGUUACUAGAUGGGACUGAGGAGGGCCUUGGUGGGCUUUCCUUCCCCCCUCCCCCUUUUUUUUUUUUCUAUUUUUGGUGAUGACUCUACUUACACAUAAGUGACAUAUUUGACCUCAAAUGGAGAACUUUAAGUAGACUUCAGUGUCCAGAAGAACCAGAGAUGUGUUUUGUCUCUUCAGUGUGACAUUUGAUUGAGUACUUUUCAGUCUUUCCAGACUAAAAUCAUGCUUGUAUUGGGGGGAAAGAGGCCUAAGUUUUCUGUGACUCUGGCAUAUGGAGCUUUCAGAAAAUGGUGUUUUAAGUUGGUAUAAUCAUAUUUCACGCGUAACAAAUCAGAUACUAAAAUUUGUAUCAUGUAUGGCAUUCAGUCUUCUAAAAAGAUUUUGAUAAAUUCUCAUAUUUUUCUAAAGCCAAAAAUCUCAUUCAUCUGCAAAUUACAUGAACAGUACAUAUACCUAAUACUUAAUUGCAUGUGCAUGUCUCUAAUAUGUAAUUUUGGCCAUCAAGUGUUCAAAGUAUGAGUAAAUCUAGUACUUAAAAUUGUGAAUUUAAACCUUUCAACAUUUUGAAUGGUUUUGAGUUAUAUCAAGGCAGUUACUGACAUAGCUAAAGUAGGCAGUUAAAAACCCUACUUGGCAGACAGGUAGAUUUGGUAAGUGGACCGAGUCCGAAAUGAUUUACCAGGUUAUUGUUCAGUCAUUUGACUAUGUACUUCUAUUCAUACAAGACACUGAUACUACUCUUAUUCCAUCAGUGGGAGAGUGAACAAACUAUGAGGAUAGUGAACAAGUUUUAAGUGGACUUGUGGCUAGUUUGAAGCAAAGUCUAGUUUGUGAAUUCUUUGACCCCUUUCUGUGGUGAGGACAAUGGUGUUGUUAGGCUAGAAGGGU